AUUGAACGCUGGCGGCAGGCCUAACACCUGCAAGUCGAACGAGUGGCGGACGGGUGAGUAAUGUCUGGGAAACUGUCUGAUGGAGGGGGAUAACUACUGGACAGGGUAUCUAAUACCGCAUACCAUCAGAUGUGCCCAUAUGGGAGUAGCUAGUGGGUGGGGUAACCGCGCACCAAGGCGACGAUCCCUCGCUGGUCUGAGAGGAUGACCAGCCAAACGGGAACUGGGACACGGUCCAGACUCCUACGGGAGGCAGCAGUGGGGAAUAUUGCACAAUGGGCGCAAGCCUGAUGCAGCCAUGCCGCGUGUAUGAAGAAGGCCUUCGGGUUGUAAAGUACUUUCAGCGGGGAGGCGUUACCCGCAGAAGAAGCACCGGCUAACUCCGUGCCAGCAGCCGCGGUAAUUC
rnacentral:rRNA from 1 species